GUUCUUAUAGUUGAAUAACAACGAUGGUUUUUCAAGCCGUUGGUUUUGGUUAGAGUCCAAAUUAGAAUA
rnacentral:tRNA from 1 species